AGUGAACGCUGGCGGUAGGCCUAACACAUGCAAGUCGAACGGCAGCACAGUAAGGGCUUGCUCUUACGGGUGGCGAGUGGCGGACGGGUGAGGAAUACAUCGGAAUCUACUUUUUCGUGGGGGAUAACGUAGGGAAACUUACGCUAAUACCGCAUACGACCUACGGGUGAAAGCAGGGGAUCUUCGGACCUUGCGCGACUGAAUGAGCCGAUGUCGGAUUAGCUAGUUGGCGGGGUAAAGGCCCACCAAGGCGACGAUCCGUAGCUGGUCUGAGAGGAUGAUCAGCCACACUGGAACUGAGACACGGUCCAGACUCCUACGGGAGGCAGCAGUGGGGAAUAUUGGACAAUGGGCGCAAGCCUGAUCCAGCUAUACCGCGUGGGUGAAGAAGGCCUUCGGGUUGUAAAGCCCUUUUGUUGGGAAAGAAAAGCAGCAGGUUAAUACCCCGCUGUUCUGACGGUACCCAAAGAAUAAGCACCGGCUAACUUCGUG
rnacentral:rRNA from 1 species